rnacentral:lncRNA from 1 species
GCAGUGGCUUAUAGUAUGUAUAUUUUAGAAAAAUUAUUACUUUUAGAUAGAGAAUUCCAGCAUUCCUAGAAAUGUUGUAAAAGGGCAAGGUUAUCUAGGUACUCGAGUCAAUUUGAUAUGGUUAAUAGUUGCUUACGAUAUAAUAAAGUCAACUAGAACAAUGAAAAAAUGAUUUAAUUUUUCCAAGUUGGAUUUAGUGUGCCUUCUGACGGGAUGCUGCUCACUAGCUGCUUAGACCAUCUUCCAGAAAUUUGAUUGUUUGAAUAUUUUUUCCCUUAUUUCAUUUGUAACGUUGUAUACUUUCAUUUUUAUUUUUUAAGGUUCGAAAUUGGAUAAAAUAAAUAAUUUAGCCAUCCUAGGAGUUCUCUUUGCAUCUAUCUAGCUAAUCCUGUUGUGAUUGCUGAGAACUUUUAUGAGCUUAGUGAGGUACAUAUUCUGAUGCAACAUGACAGUGAUGAAAGUACAUGAUGAGUGCAUGGUGUGCAUGGAGAUUUUGUUUGAUUAGAUUCAAGGGAUGUGUUGCUGUCCAUUUUUGUAUAUUUGUUCUUUUUUAAAAAAUUCUGGUAAAAAAGGUAAGAUCAUAUACUAGUGAAGAUAA